CUGCAAGUAUCAACCACACACACCAGCCAUCGCUUACCUCCUAAAAAUUGUCCUCACAUCCCUCUCACUUGGAAGACCGGCCGACCACCUCCUUUGUGGCGAUGCACGGCGGCUGUGGAAGAAGGACGACGGGCGGAGAUGGGCGGUAGUUAUCAGCGGCGGAGAAGGUGGUGGCAUAAGGAGGGAGAAUGGCCGUGGUGAUCUCUCUCCGCCGUCUCCCUCCCUCUCCUCACCGUCUCUUCCAGCUCCGAGGUGUUGUGGCCGAGAUUGUUGAUAAGGAAGUGGCUCAAUCGGUCUUCCAGAAGCUCCGAAUACGACGCUGAUUCGGAGGAUGAUGAUACUGCUUACGGAACCGACGGAGACGUUCUUUCAUACGUUUUGAUUCGGUGGUAUUUAAUUCGAGUUAGUUUCUGUUUAAACCAGCCGCAAUGAGGAAGGGAUUGGUACGUUUUCUUUAUCUUUUACUUGGUUCAACUUUCGAUAUAAAUUUUGCUCAAGAACCACAUAUCUACGUUUCGAGUUAGUAUAGUU